AGAACUGUGCAGGAGACAGAUCAGAGUGGCACAGAGAUGACACCAACGACAUCUCGAUGCAGAUUAUUGCCACAACGGUCAAGACGAAGCAAGAGACCUGUAUGAAAUAAUUGUGAGUAAUAUAUUACAAAUGAUCAAAUAAAAAAUGUCAUUAAAAAACUCCAGUCAUGCAUUUAUGGGCUUUUGAGAGACGCAUUUAUGUUCCUUUUGUUUCUAUGCAACAAACACAAUGAAUGUUUAGUUUGAUUUAAACAAAUAUUUAAACAUACAGACUUUAUUUUCUUAGGAGAAAUUUCUCCCUUAGCAUUAAUAACAAUAAGUGGAGCUCAAAGUCUACUAGCAUUUUAUGCAUUGUGUCACAUGAUUGGCUGAUUGGAUUAUUACAUGAAAAAGCAGGUGUAUAACCUUUCUUAAUAAAGGACAUGCAUUUAUUU